ACAGACGCUUUAAAUAUUUUUCAAUUCAUAUCACAAUCCAGUUCAGUUUUGGCAUUGUCUGGGCACACAUUGCAAAUACCCCCUACUAUGUUCUAUGAUGGGAAAAGCCAUAACUUGUAACAUUGAUUGGUAUGGAUUGAGUUAAAGACAAUGGGGAAUGGGAGCGCUUACAAAGACCGCAGACAAAAAUGGAUCUGAUUUUAGACAUACCCCCAGUAAAUGGUGCAUAAAUAAAUGUAAGCAUGUUUUUUAUUCGAGCUGUAUAGACUAGAGAUUUCUUAUUUUUGUGUUUUUAGCCAAUGGGGUGUUUUAUUGUUAUCUUGAUGGGAGGAGAAUAUCCUGUGUUCCUUUAAUAGUAAUAAGUGGCAUAUACGUCCGCUUUCUUCCUGCUUUCGAUGU